GGUUUGGGUUGGCCGUGGGUGGGACAGGUGGACUGAUUGGAAGGGCCUGGUCUGUUUAAUCGGAAACAUUUAAGUUUCUUCGUCAUUUGUGUUAAAUAUUCACAAAAGUGAAACCAUGUUUGGCUACUAAAAAAUUUGACAAAACGAAUAUAUAGCUUGUUUGUAAUAGAGAGUAGAUACCAGUUGUGCAACAUUGAACACCAUCUGAUAUGUUGUAUUAUGUUUUCAACCCGUGAUAUAGAACUGGCAUCUAAUUCGGAAUUGAACUUAAAUUCCGUUUCAGUCCCAGAACUAAAUCCGUAACAAUAUUUAUCUCCACUCACCUUAUCGCAUUAUGGGACCUUUCCCGGCAAUUUCCAGGCCACGGAAACUAUUUUCGCGGCUCAUUUAACGGGUUCGUUCUAUCCGAGGAGAGAAAUCAUAAAAAGCACAUAAAAAUACACAUUUUUAUUGCCUGCGGGCAGCUUAGAGCGCCCAUCCCUGGCAUCAUGUAUAUCAAAUUUGCCACGAUUACGGAGACGCCUCACCGCGCUCACGCCCGAGGGCUGGACCCGAAAAAAAUGGGAUAGCAGAGGAAUACGUUCGAAACUCAUUUCCUGCCCGAGAAGAAUUAUGAAAAAAUUCAAAAAGCUGGAGCCGCCUGCAGCUUUG